GCUACCCGAUGGCCGGAAGCAGUAGCUCUAGGCAACACCAGGGCUAACACUGUGUGCCUGGCCCUAACAGACAUUUUUGCCAGGGUAGGUUGGCCCUCCGAAAUCCUUACAGAUUCAGGAUCUAAUUUCCUGGCAGGGACCAUGAAAGAACUGUGGGACACUCAUGGGGUGAACUACUUGGUUGCUACCUCUUACCACCAUUAAACCAAUGGCCUGGUGGAAAGGUUCAAUGGAACUUUGGGGGCCAUGAUACGAAAAUUCAUCAACGAAUUCUCCAAUAAUUGGGACCUAGUGUUGCAGCAGUUGCUGUUUGCCUACAGGGCUGUACCACAUCCCAGUUUAGGGUUUUCACCAUUUGAACUUGUGUAUGGUCACGAGGUUAAGGGGCCAUUACAGUUGGUGAAGCAGCAAUGGGAGGGGUUUACGCCUUCUCCAGGAACUAACAUUCUGGACUUUGUAAGCAACCUACAAAGCACCCUCCGACACUCUUUAGCCCUUGCUAGAGAGAACCUAAAGGAUGCUCAAGAAGAGCAAAAGGCCUGGUAUGACAGACAUGCCAGAGAACGUUCCUUCAAGGUAGGAGACCAGGUUAUGGUCUUGAAGGCGCAACAGGCCCAUAAGAUGGAAGCAUCAUGGGAAGGGCCAUUCACGGUCCAAGAGCGCCUGGGAGCUGUAAACUACCUCAUAGCCUUUCCCAAUUCCUCCCUAAAGCCUAAAGUGUACCAUGUUAAUUCUCUCAAGCCCUUUUAUUCCAGAGACUUACAGGUUUGUCAGUUUACAAUCCAGGGAGGAGAUGACACUGAGUGGCCUGACGGUGUCUACUACAAAGGGAAAAAAGACAGUGGCGUGGAAGAGGUAAACCUCUCAACAACUCUGGAACGUCUGCAGUGGCAACAAAUCAAGGAGCUGUGCACUGGCUUCGCACCAUUGUUCUCAGCCACCCCAGGAUGGACUGAAUGGGCAUACCACUCCAUUGACACAGGUAAUGCUCACCCAAUUAGAGUGGCUAGAACAGGCAUUGUGGGACAUUUCAUAG
rnacentral:lncRNA from 1 species